GACGUAGGUGGCGAACGUUAUCCGGAAUUAUUGGGCGUAAAGGGUGCGUAGAUGGUAUGAUAAGUUAUUGGUGGUAAAUCGGGGCUCAACCUCGUGGAAGCUAGUAAUACUGUUAUACUUGAGUACAGGAGAGGUUAAUGGAAUUCCCUGUGGAGCGGUAAAAUGCGUUAGAUAUAGGGAGGAACACCAAUAACGGCGAAGGCAAUUAACUAUCCUGCUACUGACAUUGAGGCACGAAAGCGUGGGGAGCAAAAAGG
rnacentral:rRNA from 1 species